rnacentral:rRNA from 1 species
UACGGAGGGGGCUAGCGUUGUUCGGAAUUACUGGGCGUAAAGCGCGCGUAGGCGGCUUAGCAAGUUAGAGGUGAAAGCCCGAAGCUCAACUUCGGAAUUGCCUUUAAAACUGCAAAGCUAGAAUCAUGGAGAGGUGAGUGGAAUUCCGAGUGUAGAGGUGAAAUUCGUAGAUAUUAGGAAGAACACCGGUGGCGAAGGCGGCCCACUGGUCCGGUACUGACGCUGAGGUGCGAAAGCGUGGGGAGCAAACAGG